rnacentral:rRNA from 1 species
AUUGAACGCUGGCGGCAGGCCUAACACAUGCAAGUCGAGCGGAUGAAGGGAGCUUGCUCCUGGAUUCAGCGGCGGACGGGUGAGUAAUGCCUAGGAAUCUGCCUGGUAGUGGGGGAUAACGUCCGGAAACGGGCGCUAAUACCGCAUACGUCCUGAGGGAGAAAGUGGGGGAUCUUCGGACCUCACGCUAUCAGAUGAGCCUAGGUCGGAUUAGCUAGUUGGUGGGGUAAAGGCCUACCAAGGCGACGAUCCGUAACUGGUCUGAGAGGAUGAUCAGUCACACUGGAACUGAGACACGGUCCAGACUCCUACGGGAGGCAGCAGUGGGGAAUAUUGGACAAAGGGCGAAAGCCUGAUCCAGCCAUGCCGCGUGUGUGAAGAAGGUCUUCGGAUUGUAAAGCACUUUAAGUUGGGAGGAAGGGCAGUAGGUUAAUACCUUGCUGUUUUGACGUUACCAACAGAAUAAGCACCGGCUAACUUCGUG